GGAUCUUGCUAGUGCUCUGUCUUCCUGGUAUUUUUGUGUUUGUUUGUUUUAAAUAGACGCUGUCUAGUACAUAUAGUCCUCUGGCUAGUAGUUGUUAUCUGGCAAAGUGUUCAAGCUCUAUUUAUUUUGUGCCUGUGAUCUGGGAGUAUCCAAGCAGUUUACUAAGGUGAUAUCACCAUUUCACAAUGGGAUGAGACAAAGACAGAAAGCCAAGGAUGCAGAAAAUGUAUGGUUUUAUUGUUAAAACACUGGAAUAGGAGUCUCUUCUCAGUUCUUGCAGAGACUUUGGGUAUAUCUACACUGCAAAGAAAAACCUAUGGCUGGCCCAAGACAGCCAACUUGAGCUCAGGCUAUGGGCCCGUUUCAUUGCUAUGUAGACUUCCAGGUUCAGGCUGGAACCUGGGGUCUAGGUCCUUGUGGAUUUAACAGCUGAAGCAGCUAUCAGUACCAUGUUCCUAACAAGUAUUAAAUCUCUAAUCAAGAGAGGACCAUUCCACUGCUUUAUGAUAUUGUGUUUGCAAGAGAUGAAUGACACAAAAGAAGCAGAGAGGCAUCAGGUUCACAUUAGCCCUGGUAACAGAGUGGAGUUGUUUAUCAAUAAUUGUCAAAUGAUCUGCAUUUCGGUAUCUCAGGAUCAGGUGCAGUACUUUCUUUAGUGGCAAUAUGGAACACAACAGUUUAUCUAUCAUGAAAGUUGAAGGAAAAUGUGCUGUAUGGAAACCGAUUGCCAGCUUGGAUAAUUUCACUGUUGAAUCUGCAAGUCAUUGCACAGUGCACUGCAGGAUGUGCAAACUCACUAUGAGUAAAAGUGAAAGUCAUGCAUUGGCACAAAUAAGGUCAAGCAGCAGGUGUAUUCCUCCACGCUGAGCAGUUAAGGGUCAAGCCUCUUGCAUAGUCUCUCUAUUCCUUGCAAACAAACAAGGUGAUAAGGGGAUGGGGGAGCAUGGGUGCACCUGGGGAGCAAUGGACUUCAGGAUGAUCUAAUAAGUUAUUUAGCUACUUGUUCCCUGAUUGGACCUUACACCUACCUACAAGACGGAAGUAAUUUGGCAGUCUUUCAGCAGUGCUCUCAAUAUCAGAUCAGAUUCCCCAGUGCUCCUUUGUUCUGCUCAUAACUUUUAACCUACACAACCCUCAGCACCUGCCCUGCACAGGAUCAAGCCAUCUAAGCUAAGCACACAGACUGUCAAUGCUAAUAUAUAGAAAUAGAAGAGCAGCAUCAUAUGAUACAUACACAAGGAUAACUUUGACAAGUCUUAGAAACUAGUUAGAAAGCCUCAGCAGCAAUGGCGCUGUUACUUGAUGUAAAGUUGGCAGCUAAGGGUAUAACGGCAAAGAAUUUCACUAGGAAAGAGGAAGAGCUACUUGAUCUCUGAGAGGGAGAAUGACAGAAAUAGCCUGACAGCUUGACAAUCUCCUGACUCUAAAAAUGUAAGGAUCUGAUUCUUUGGCUUAAACCACAGCAAACUGUUAGCACAAGAUUUUUUUUUACUAAUAUUGUAGAGCUGUUAUACAAACUGUAGACUAGAUAUGAUUUGUACCCUUCAAUUUUCUCUCUGUUUUAUAUUUUAAAAUGCCUUUGAGUUAUUUUUAGUGCUACUGUCACUUGAGUAUCUAUUGCAAAUCAUUCUUGAUCAUAAGGAACACAUGUUUUUGACCUCUCAUGACAAAAGGUACCUGGUCUAAGAGUACUUGGCUAAAGGCAUGAGCAGGAAAAGUCCACACUCCCAUAAGCUGCUGACUACAGUCAAUAAGGAGUAUGGAGAAAUCCUGAUAACAGUGAAGAGUGACAGUAAUAGGGGACCACACAGCAAAUUCUGGUGAGGUUUGGCUUUCUACAAUUAUAUAGUCAGUCAUAGAUUUUAAGCUUUAAAACACCUAAUUCACCCAGGUACUAGAUGAGAGUCUAAAGAGAGAUAUAAGGCCAAAUCAGACAGUCCUUGUGCAUCUGCCUGAUGAGUCCUCCACAAGCAGAUCUACCUCCUUCUGUGCAGAAGGGGACUCAGCUGUCUCCAUGACCCUGUUACCUACCACCCAGAUUCAGUAGUGCUUUCUCUGUGGUUCAGGGUCUAUGUUGGGGAAAGGAGCAAUGAGUAGGUAGGCUGGAGGGAAGUGUGGGCAAGUUGGGGGUGAUACAGAGUUUCCCCAGACUGCAUUAUCUUUUCCAUAUUGCCGACAGUGUGUUCCAGGCACUAUAUGGCCAAGGAUCCAAGGGUGAGGAGUGGGGCUUGCAGGGGGAAACCUCUGCCUUCCUCCAUGGAAUAAUGCGGAGAACUCUCCACAAAGGAUUCUUCAGGGAGCUUUUUCUUCCCCCAAACCCUAUCCCACAGCUUCUAACACUAAAGAGGACAAUCUGCCUCCUGGGAAUGUGCUUGUUAAGUUCUUUUUGGCUAUCCUUUGUAGCUAGAGUCUGUAAACAUCAGAAUUAACCUUGUAGAAUGCAGGCUGGGAUACAUUUUGCAGAUGAAAUUUAAUAAAACAAAAACCAUCUUACAAUGAGCAUGCAUCUGCAUUAAGGGGAAAAAUUUAGGUGAACACACAUGACUGAAAUUCAAAUAAAAUAAAUUAAUUGUUUAAAAAACAGAGAAUAUGAAUAAUUUCCAGUAUAGAAGUGCGUAAUGUUUAUAAUGGGUACAAUUUUCUGCAAUUCUGUAAUCUUUAGGGUCCAGAACCUGCUAUAAUCUGCAGCCACAUGGACCUAUUUAUAACUACUACUGUGAAACUGAAUAUAAAACACACAUUUCUGCUGGUCAGGGAGAUGUACAUUUCUAAAAUAUUAUAUUAUAUUAAUAAAUGUACUUCUCUUGGACUACCACAAUUUAUGUACUAGAAUUUAUAAACAGUUUUGUCAUAUUUAA